rnacentral:rRNA from 1 species
UAGCGAAUCUUCCGCAAUGGGCGAAAGCCUGACGGAGCAACGCCGCGUGAGUGAUGAAGGUCUUCGGAUCGUAAAACUCUGUUAUUAGGGAAGAACAAAUGUGUAAGUAACUAUGCACGUCUUGACGGUACCUAAUCAGAAAGCCACGGCUAACUACGUGCCAGCAGCCGCGGUAAUACGUAGGUGGCAAGCGUUAUCCGGAAUUAUUGGGCGUAAAGCGCGCGUAGGCGGUUUUUUAAGUCUGAUGUGAAAGCCCACGGCUCAACCGUGGAGGGUCAUUGGAAACUGGAAAACUUGAGUGCAGAAGAGGAAAGUGGAAUUCCAUGUGUAGCGGUGAAAUGCGCAGAGAUAUGGAGGAACACCAGUGGCGAAGGCGACUUUCUGGUCUGUAACUGACGCUGAUGUGCGAAAGCGUGGGGAUCAAACAGG